rnacentral:rRNA from 1 species
UGGGGGAUAUUGCACAAUGGGGGAAACCCUGAUGCAGCAAUGCCGCGUGAGGGAAGAAGGUCUUCGUAUUUUAAACCUAAGUAGUCAGGGACGAAAGAAAUGACGGUACCUGAAGAGUAAGCUCCGGCUAACUACGUGCCAGCAUCCGCUGUAAUACGUAGGGAGCGAGCGUUGUCCGGUUUUACUGGGUGCAAAUGGUGCGUAGGCGGGUUUGCAAGUCAGGCGUGAAAUACCGAGGCUCAACUUCGGGGCUGCGCUUGAAACUGUGAAUCUUGAGUGAAGUAUAGGCAGACGGCAUUCCUAGUGUAGCGGUGAAAUGCGUAGAUAUUAGGAGGAACACCAGUGGCGAAGGCGGCCUGCUGGGCUUUAGCUGACGCUGACGCACGAAAGCAUGGGGAGCAGACA